rnacentral:rRNA from 1 species
GACGAACGCUGGCGGCGUGCUUAACACAUGCAAGUCGAACGGUAAGGCCCUUCGGGGUACACGAGUGGCGAACGGGUGAGUAACACGUGGGUGAUCUGCCCUGCACUUCGGGAUAAGCCUGGGAAACUGGGUCUAAUACCGGAUAGGACCACUGCCUGCAUGGGUGGUGGUGGAAAGCUUUUGCGGUGUGGGAUGGGCCCGCGGCCUAUCAGCUCGUUGGUGGGGUGAUGGCCUACCAAGGCGACGACGGGUAGCCGGCCUGAGAGGGUGACCGGCCACACUGGGCCUGAGAUACGGCCCAGACUCCUACGGGAGGCAGCAGUGGGGAAUAUUGCACAAUGGGCGCAAGCCUGAUGCAGCGACGCCGCGUGAGGGAUGACGGCCUUCGGGUUGUAAACCUCUUUCAGCACCGACGAAGCGCAAGUGGCGGUAGGUGCAGAAGAAGGACCGGCCAACUACGUGCCAGCCGCCGCCGUAAUAC